rnacentral:rRNA from 1 species
GAGUUUGAUCGUGGCUCAGAUUGAACGCUGGCGGCAUGCCUUACACAUGCAAGUCGAACGGCAGCACGGGAGCUUGCUCCUGGUGGGCGAGUGGCGAACGGGUGAGUAAUGCAUCGGAACGUAUCCUGGAGUGGGGGAUAACGUAGCGAAAGUUACGCUAAUACCGCAUAUUCUGUGAGCAGGAAAGCGGGGGACCUUCGGGCCUCGCGCUCUUGGAGCGGCCGAUGUCGGAUUAGCUAGUUGGUGAGGUAAAGGACUCACCAAGGCGACGAUCCGUAGCAGGUCUGAGAGGAUGAUCUGCCACACUGGAACUGAGACACGGUCCAGACUCCUACGGGAGGCAGCAGUGGGGAAUUUUGGACAAUGGGGGCAACCCUGAUCCAGCCAUGCCGCGUGAGUGAAGAAGGCCU